rnacentral:piRNA from 1 species
UGAUGGAUGCAGUAUGACUUUAUGAAC